GGAGCUCAGGGCUAAGGCACAGAGGACGGCGCGAGAGGCGGGCGCGGGAGAGGGAAAGUAGGACGGCGGCGCGCGCUGCAGAGGUCGCGCUCGCUCACACACGUGGCUGGUUUCGCCUGGCCUUCGACGGCUGUGCACAGGGAUGGGCUGCCGCGCCCCCAGGGGUGUCUCUCCAGGGCACUGUUGAAGCAUAUCAUUGAGGAGAAACUGCCUCAUUCCCUGUGUGAAUCUCCUAAGAUCCAUUAUUGUUGCUGUCUUCAUCUUCAGAGAGGGUAAGGCCUAAAUAAACCAGGAGGAGCAGAGGAGAUGGAUGGUAGAAGGCACAGGGCUGGGAAUUGGGAGACUUCUGUUCAGUUCUGCCCCCGAUUUCUUUUGACUUUGGGUGAGUUACUUAAUCUCUCGCUACCUCAUUCUCUGUAUCUGUAAAAUAAGUAUAAUAAUAUUUAUUUCUACCUCAUAUCUAUGUUGGAAGGCUUACUUCGCUAAUAUUUCUCA